UGUCCUCAGUCUGUGGAAUUGCAGUAUUACAGAGAAACAGUGUCUCAUCCUGACUUCAGCUCUGAAAUCAGAACCAUCACACCUGAGAGAAAUGGACCUCAGUGGGAAUAAACUGAAAAAACACAGGAUGGAUCACUUAUGUGACGUACUGAAGGAUUCACACUGUAAACUGGAGAGAUUGAGGUUAAGCUGCUGUUAUAUGACAGAUGAAGGAUGUUCUGCACUGACUUCAGCUCUGAAAUCAAACCCUUCACACCUGAGAGAACUGAACCUUAGUGGGAAUGAACUAGGAGACUCUGGAGUGAAAAGCCUCGGUGAUCUACUGAUGAAACCCACAAUUCAAGCUGGAGAAACUACAUUUGAGUGAAUGCGGUAUUACAUACAAACAGCGUCUCAUCCUGACUUCAGCUAUGAAAUCAAACCCAUCACACCUGAGAGAGCUGGACCUCAGUGAGAAUCAAAUAAAAAACACAGGAAUGAGUCAAUUAUGUGACGUACUGAAGGAUCCACACUGUAAACUGGAGAGAUUGAGUCUAAAUUUCUGUGGCAUUACAGACCUUUCUGCUUUAACUCAGUCUUUGACAAACACAAAAGCACUGCAGUUUUUAAAAGAGCUUGAUCUGA